GAAGCAUGCGGAGCUCAGAAGAGCAAGAGAAAAUCCAGUGACUGACAAAGAAUAAGAAGAAAAACACUGACCAAGACAAUAAUCCCAAGAAGUCAAAAAUUAAGGCCCAAGAGGAAGAAGGCAGACUAAAGAAAGUAGGAAAGAUGCAAGAAGAAAGACAGCCAUCUGCAUACCAGGAAGAGGGCCCUCACCAGACACUGGAUAUGCUGCAUCCUUGAUCUUGGGCUUCCAACCUCUA